UACGAAGGGGGCGAGCGUUGUUCGGAAUUACUGGACGUAAAGGGCGCGUAGGCGGCCGAUCAAGUCAGAUGUGAAAGUCCUGGGCUUAACCUGGGGACUGCAUUUGAUACUGAUUGGCUUGAAUUCGGGAGAGGAUAGCGGAAUUCCCAGUGUAGAGGUGAAAUUCGUAGAUAUCGGGAGGAACACCGGUGGCGAAGGCGGCGACCUGGGUAGAUACUGACGCUGAGGCGGCGAAAAGCGUGGGGAGCAAACAGG
rnacentral:rRNA from 1 species